AGAGUUUGAUCCUGGCUCAGGACGAACGCUGGCGGCGUGCCUAACACAUGCAAGUCGAACGGAGUUGAAAGGAGCUUGCUUUUUUCAACUCAGUGGCGGACGGGUGAGUAACGCGUGAGUAACCUGCCUUUCAGAGGGGGAUAACGUUCUGAAAAGAACGCUAAUACCGCAUAAGAUUGUAGUUUCGCAUGGGACAGCAAUCAAGGGAGCAAUCCGCUGAAAGAUGGACUCGCGUCCGAUUAGAUAGUUGGCGGGGUAACGGCCCACCAAGUCGACGAUCGGUAGCCGGACUGAGAGGUUGAUCGGCCACAUUGGGACUGAGACACGGCCCAGACUCCUACGGGAGGCAGCAGUGAGGGAUAUUGGGCAAUGGGGGAAACCCUGACCCAGCAACGCCGCGUGAGGGAUGACGGUUUUCGGAUUGUAAACCUCUGUCCUCUGUGAAGAUAGUGACGGUAGCAGAGGAGGAAGCUCCGGCUAACUACGUGCCAGCAGCCGCGGUAAUACGUAGGGAGCGAGCGUUGUCCGGAUUUACUGGGUGUAAAGGGUGCGUAGGCGGAUUGGCAAGUCAGAAGUGAAAUCCAUGGGCUUAACCCAUGAACUGCUUUUGAAACUGUUAGUCUUGAGUGAAGUAGAGGUAGGCGGAAUUCCCGGUGUAGCGGUGAAAUGCGUAGAGAUCGGGAGGAACACCAGUGGCGAAGGCGGCCUACUGGGCUUUAACUGACGCUGAGGCACGAAAGUGUGGGUAGCAAACAGGAUUAGAUACCCUGGUAGUCCACACUGUAAACGAUGAUUAUUAGGUGUGGGGGGUCUAACCCCCUCCGUGCGGAGUU
rnacentral:rRNA from 1 species